UGGUGUUGUAAUGGUAGGAAGCGUGGGUGAAGGCUUGCAGCAGGUACGCCUUGUUCUGAAAGGUGUAGUUGAUCUUCCUUUCGAAGUUUUCGAAGCCGGAGAUGAGGUGGUUGAGGGUUCGCUCUGCGUCUGGGUGGUCCAGCAGGGAGCGGGGCGGGAUCUUCAGCCAGCCGUAGCUCAGGUCCCGGGUGGAGGUCUGACCGCUCUGCACCAGCGCUCCGGUCGGGGUCCCGCUCUCCAACGGCAACACCUGAUGUAAAACCACAGUGAAUAGCAGGGGACAGCUGGGAAAAGGGGAGUCGUAGGAAAGGCUCCCGUGGACUUGGCAGCUGGCACCGUGCUGACCUUGAGGCCCAGCGAGCAGAGGAACAUCUGGGCGGCUCGCUCCCCACAGCUGGUCAGGUAACAGCCCAGCAGAGCCUCCACGCAGUCGGCAAUGCUCUUGUCGGCGAUGCACUGCUCCGUGUGCAAGUCGUAAGAGAUGGACUGCUUGCCCAGCUCCGCGCCGCAGUUCUCCUCGGACGGGUUCCAGAAGCCCACCACGAAGUCGUCCUCCUCGCCCGCCUUACUGGGGUCCAGGUAGCACAUGCGCGUCCCAGGAGCUGUAGUCAAACUCCUCCGCGCUGGGCGCCGGCUCCGAGGCGUAGUGGGCCGCCGCCGGCUGGUGGCGCUUCCUUGGCGCCUUCCACUCGUAGGGGGGUUCCGUGGCGGGGGAGGGAAGCCGCUCAGCGAGAUCUUCUUACCGAACGCGCCGGAUCCCAGCAGCAUGUUGUCGAUGAACUUGAUGUGCUCCUUGUAGUACUCCAAGUCGUCCUCCAUGUUGACUUCGUCCUUUGGCUCCUCCUUCAGCAUCAGCUCACCGUCCUCGUCCAGCUCCUCAGCGUCUUCCUCCUCAAUGUCGGAGUCGUUCUCAGGCUGCCCGUUCGCCGCAGGCUCCUCCG
ensembl:lncRNA